CUUCCGUAGGGGGGACCUGCGGAGGGAUCAUUACACAAAUAUGAAGGCGGGCUGGAACCUCUCGGGGUUACAGCCUUGCUGAAUUAUUCACCCUUGUCUUUUGCGUACUUCUUGUUUCCUUGGUGGGUUCGCCCACCACUAGGACAAACAUAAACCUUUUGUAAUUGCAAUCAGCGUCAGUAACAAAUUAAUAAUUACAACUUUCAACAACGGAUCUCUUGGUUCUGGCAUCGAUGAAGAACGCAGCGAAAUGCGAUAAGUAGUGUGAAUUGCAGAAUUCAGUGAAUCAUCGAAUCUUUGAACGCACAUUGCGCCCUUUGGUAUUCCAAAGGGCAUGCCUGUUCGAGCGUCAUUUGUACCCUCAAGCUUUGCUUGGUGUUGGGCGUCUUGUCUCUAGCUUUGCUGGAGACUCGCCUUAAAGUAAUUGGCAGCCGGCCUACUGGUUUCGGAGCGCAGCACAAGUCGCACUCUCUAUCAGCAAAGGUCUAGCAUCCAUUAAGCCUUUUUUUCAACUUUUGACCUCGGAUCAGGUAGGGAUACCCGCUGAACUUAAGCAUAUCAAUAAGCCGGAGGAACG
rnacentral:rRNA from 1 species